GAUGAACGCUGGCGGCGUGCUUAACACAUGCAAGUCGAACGAAGCAUUUGCGACAGAUUUUUUCGGAAUGAAGUUGCUUAUGACUGAGUGGCGGACGGGUGAGUAACGCGUGGGUAACCUGCCUUGUACUGGGGGAUAGCAGCUGGAAACGGCUGGUAAUACCGCAUAAGCGCACAAUGUUGCAUGACAUGGUGUGAAAAACUCCGGUGGUAUAAGAUGGACCCGCGUCUGAUUAGCUAGUUGGUGAGAUAACAGCCCACCAAGGCGACGAUCAGUGGCCGACCGGAGAGGGUGACCGGCCACAUUGGGACUGAGACACGGCCCAGACUCCUACGGGAGGCAGCAGUGGGGAAUAUUGCACAAUGGAGGAAACUCUGAUGCAGCGACGCCGCGUGAGUGAAGAAGUAAUUCGUUAUGUAAAGCUCUAUCAGCAGGGAAGAUAGUGACGGUACCUGACUAAGAAGCUCCGGCUAAAUACGUG
rnacentral:rRNA from 1 species